rnacentral:rRNA from 1 species
UACGUAGGGUGCAAGCGUUGUCCGGAAUUAUUGGGCGUAAAGAGCUCGUAGGCGGUCUGUCGCGUCGGCUGUGAAAACCCGAGGCUCAACCUCGGGCCUGCAGUCGAUACGGGCAAACUGGAGUGUUGCAGGGGAGACUGGAAUUCCUGGUGUAGCGGUGAAAUGCGCAGAUAUCAGGAGGAACACCGAUGGCGAAGGCAGGUCUCUGGGCAUUAACUGACGCUGAGGAGCGAAAGCUAGGGGAGCGAAUGGG